rnacentral:rRNA from 1 species
UGUCUCCCAGGACAAUUGCCUUAGUGUUCUGGCCUCGGAUCAGGUGGGACUACCCGCUGAACUUAAGCAUAUCAAUAAGCGGAGGAAAAGGAACUAACAAGGAUUCCCCCUAGUAACUGCGAGUGAAGUGGGAUAAGCUCAAAUUUAAAAUCUGGCAGUCUUUGAGUGCCCGAGUUGUAAUCUAGAGAAGUGUUCUUCUGUGCUGGACUGCAUUCAAGUUCCCUGGAUAUGGGACAUCAUAGAGGGUGAGAAUCCCGUCUUUAAUGCAGACUCCCAGUGCUCUGUGAUGCACUCUCAACGAGUCGAGUUGUUUGGGAUUGCAGCUCAAAGUGGGAGGUAAAUUCCUUCUAAAGCUAAAUAUUGGCGAGAGACCGAUAGCGAACAAGUACCGUGAGGGAAAGAUGAAAAGCACUUUGGAAAGAGAGUUAAACAGUACGUGAAAUUGUUAAAAGGGAAACAAUUGAAGUCAGUUGCAUCUACUUGGACUCAGCCUUACCUUACCUUGGUUUGGUUUGGUGCAUUUCCUUGUGGAUGGGCCAGUGUCCAUGUUGAUGACUGGAAAAGGGGCUAGGGAAUGUGGCUCUCUUUUGGGGGAGUGUUUUAUAGCCUUGGCUCAUAUACAGUGAUUGAUAUGGAGUGGUACAGCAUGCUUCGGUGGUGCUUGUGCUGGCAUAAUGGCUUUAAAUGACCCGUCU